AUUGAACGCUGGCGGCAGGCCUAACACAUGCAAGUCGAGCGGAUGAAGGGAGCUUGCUCCUGGAUUCAGCGGCGGACGGGUGAGUAAUGCCUAGGAAUCUGCCUGGCAGUGGGGGAUAACGUCCGGAAACGGGCGCUAAUACCGCAUACGUCCUGAGGGAGAAAGUGGGGGAUCUUCGGACCUCACGCUAUCAGAUGAGCCUAGGUCGGAUUAGCUAGUUGGUGGGGUAAAGGCCUACCAAGGCGACGAUCCGUAACUGGUCUGAGAGGAUGAUCAGUCACACUGGAACUGAGACACGGUCCAGACUCCUACGGGAGGCAGCAGUGGGGAAUAUUGGACAAUGGGCGAAAGCCUGAUCCAGCCAUGCCGCGUGUGUGAAGAAGGUCUUCGGAUUGUAAAGCACUUUAAGUUGGGAGGAAGGGCAGUAAGUUAAUACCUUGCUGUUUUGACGUUACCAACAGAAUAAGCACCGGCUAACUUCGUG
rnacentral:rRNA from 1 species